UACGGAGGGGGUUAGCGUUGUUCGGAAUGACUGGGCGUAAAGCGCGCGUAGGCGGGCUGGAAAGUUGGGGGUGAAAUCCCGGGGCUCAACCCCGGAAUGGCCUUCAAAACUCCCAGCCUAGAGUUCGAGAGAGGUGAGUGGAAUUCCGAGUGUAGAGGUGAAAUUCGUAGAUAUUCGGAGGAACACCAGUGGCGAAGGCGGACUCACUGCUCGACACUGACGCUGAGGUGCGAAAGCGUGGGGAGCAAACAGG
rnacentral:rRNA from 1 species